AAACCAUGAAAAGCCUAAAAGUGUGGAGUUUAUUGUUCUGUGCCUUGCUGGUGUUGACGCUUGCCAAUGGGAUCCCUAGUUCACGAAGAAGAAGAAAUAGGGAAAUGGAUAGAGAUGGUAAAUAUGAUGUCAUAGAAGAAUAUCUGAAGACAAAGUUAGAAUUGAAAGAAUUGGAAGAGAAAGAAGCCAUUGCCAGGAAACGUCUUGACGACAUUUUGGAUGAUGCAGAAGAAUGAUACUGGACAAGGAUACCAGCUCGGUUACUACUCUUCGCGUGUUAACCGUCAUUAUUAUAUUAUGAUUGUUUAAACACGAAUUUUCAAAUUAACAAGCACAAUUAUUGAAUUGGUUAUAUGUCUAGUAAAAUGUGUGUAAAACAACUAAAGUAGUUCUAAUAAGAAUGCCGAGUUUAACUAAUUAACUGACAUUGUUCGAAAACAAAAUACUGACCAAUGUACGAGUUUUUCCAUGAUCAUAGUCAAAUAACUGAAUUAAACAAAUAAUAAUUUUUACCAAA